GGUCUUCGGCCUCAACAGGCCGUCCCGUAAACCAAACGGCCCGUGCACAUUGCACGGGCCGUUUUUUCAUGUCCU
rnacentral:sRNA from 1 species